UAGGGAAUCUUCCACAAUGGACGAAAGUCUGAUGGAGCAGCGCCGCGUGAGUGAAGAAGGGUUUUCGGCUCGUAAAGCUCUGUUGUUAAAGAAGAACGUGGGUAAGAGUAACUGUUUACCAGUGACGGUAUUUAACCAGAAAGCCACGGCUAACUACGUGCCAG
rnacentral:rRNA from 1 species